UGGGGAAUUUUGGACAAUGGGCGAAAGCCUGAUCCAGCAAUGCCGCGUGUGUGAAGAAGGCCUUCGGGUUGUAAAGCACUUUUGUCCGGAAAGAAAUCCUUGGCUCUAAUACAGUCGGGGGAUGACGGUACCGGAAGAAUAAGCACCGGCUAACUACGUGCCAGCAGCCGCGGUAAUACGUAGGGUGCAAGCGUUAAUCGGAAUUACUGGGCGUAAAGCGUGCGCAGGCGGUUUGCUAAGACCGAUGUGAAAUCCCCGGGCUCAACCUGGGAACUGCAUUGGUGACUGGCAGGCUAGAGUAUGGCAGAGGGGGGUAGAAUUCCACGUGUAGCAGUGAAAUGCGUAGAGAUGUGGAGGAAUACCGAUGGCGAAGGCAGCCCCCUGGGCCAAUACUGACGCUCAUGCACGAAAGCGUGGGGAGCAAACAGGAUUGGAUACCCUGGUAGUCCACGCCCUAAACGAUGUCAACUAGUUGUUGGGGAUUCAUUUCCUUAGUAACGUAGCUAACGCGUGAAGUUGACCGCCUGGGGGAGUACGGUCGCAAGAUUAAAACUCAAAGG
rnacentral:rRNA from 1 species